AGCAGCAUGGCCUAGUGGAAAGAGCAUGGGCUUGGGAGUCAGAGGACCUGGGUUCGAAUCCCAGCUCUGCCA
rnacentral:tRNA from 1 species